rnacentral:rRNA from 1 species
UACGUAGGUGGCAAGCGUUAUCCGGAAUUAUUGGGCGUAAAGCGCGCGCAGGUGGUUCUUUAAGUCUGAUGUGAAAGCCCCCGGCUCAACUGGGGAGGGUCACGCGAUACUGCUCGACUCGAAGGCAGGAGAGGGUAGUGGAAUUCCCGGUGUAGUGGUGAAAUGCGUAGAUAUCGGGAGGAACACCAGUGGCGAAGGCGACUACCUGGCCUGUUCUUGACGCUGAGGCGCGAAAGCUAGGGGAGCAAACGGG